UACGUAGGGUGCAAGCGUUAAUCGGAAUUACUGGGCGUAAAGCGUGCGCAGGCGGUUAUAUAAGACCGGUGUGAAAUCCCCGGGCUCAACCUGGGAAUUGCAUCUGUGACUGUAUAGCUAGAGUACGGUAGAGGGGGAUGGAAUUCCGCGUGUAGCAGUGAAAUGCGUAGAUAUGCGGAGGAACACCGAUGGCGAAGGCAAUCCCCUGGACCUGUACUGACGCUCAUGCACGAAAGCGUGGGGAGCAAACAGG
rnacentral:rRNA from 1 species